ACUCAGUUAGUUUAUUUGAAAAUAUUAGUUUGUGGUACUAAAGAUGGGCAAUGGAGCCCACUGGGUC
rnacentral:tRNA from 1 species